rnacentral:rRNA from 1 species
CCUACGGGAGGCAGCAGUGAGGAAUAUUGGGCAAUGGGCUUACGCCUGAACCAGCCAAGUCGCGUGAGGGAAGACUGCCCUAUGGGUUGUAAACCUCUUUUGUCAGGGAGCAACGCCGGCUACGUGUAGCCGGACUGAGAGUACCUGAAGAAAAAGCAUCGGCUAACUCCGUGCCAGCAGCCGGGGUAAUACGGGGGAUGCGAGCGUGCUCCGAAUUUAUUGGGUUAAAAGGGUGCGUAGGCGGAAUGCCAAGUCAGCGGUAAAGUCGCGGGGCUCAACCUCGCUACGCCAUUGAGACUGGCGUUCUUGAGUAGGCGAGAAGUAUGCAGAAUGCGUGGUGUAGCGGUGAAAUGCAUAGAUAUCACGCAGAACUCCGAUUGCGAAGGCAGCAUACCGGCGCCCAACUGACGCUGAAGCGCGAAAGCGUGGGUAUCGAACAGGAUUAGAUACCCCAGUAGUC